ACACGUAGGAGGCAAACGUUAUCCGGAUUCACUGGGCGUAAAGCGCGUGUAGGUGGUUUGGUAAGUAGGGCGUGAAAGCUCCUGGCUCAACUGGGAGAGGACGUUCUAAACUGCCAAGCUUGAGGAUGGUAGAGGGAGGUGGAAUUCCGGGUGUAGCGGUGGAAUGCGCAGAUAUCCGGAGGAACACCAGUGGCGAAGGCGGCCUCCUGGACCACUCCUGACACUCAGACGCGAAAGCUAGGGUAGCAAACGGGAUUAGAGACCCCGGUAGUCCUAGCCCUAAACGAUGUAGACUUGGCGUCGGUGGUUUAAUCGCCAUCGGUGUCGUAGCUAACGCGUUAAGUCUACCGCCUGGGGACUACGGCCGCAAGGUUAAA
rnacentral:rRNA from 1 species